rnacentral:rRNA from 1 species
UACAGAGGUCUCGAGCGUUGUUCGGAUUCAUUGGGCGUAAAGGGUGCGUAGGCGGCCAACUAAGUCGGAUGUGAAAUCCCCAGGCUCAACUUGGGAACUGCAUCCGAUACUGGAUGGCUUGAAUUCGGGAGAGGGAUGCAGAAUUCCAGGUGUAGCGGUGAAAUGCGUAGAUAUCUGGAGGAACACCAAUGGCGAAGGCAGUGCCCUGGCCGACGGCUGACGCUCAGGCGCGAAAGCGUGGGGAGCAAACAGG